rnacentral:misc_RNA from 1 species
UCUCCGUUGGUGAACCAGCGGAGGGAUCAUUACCGAGUUAUUCAACUCCCAAACCCCCUGUGAACCUUACCACACACGUUGCCUCGGCGGGACCGCCCCGGCGCCCUCGUGGCCCGGACCAAGGCGCCCGCCGGAGGACCACCAGACUCUCCUGUCGCAGUGGCAUUUCUCUCCGAGUCAAGCAAGCAAAAUGAAUCAAAACUUUCAACAACGGAUCUCUUGGUUCUG